CUCUUACGACGAUUUGUUUUACUUACGACGAUUUGUUUUAUAUGGAUAACUCUUAACUUAGAUCUCUCUCACUUAGGUCAAUGGACUUGGUGGGCUUAUUCUUUCAAAAGGAGGUAGGAACAGAAGCGCGUCUAACGCUCCAAAUUAUGACUUUGAAUCCAUUAGUAUUAUGCCUGCCGAUGAGCCUUUGAAGCAAAGAAUAGAAAUGCACGUUGCUCUUAGAAAGGUAACAGAAUGCGUAUAUGGUGUUAAAGUAGGAAGGUUAACAGCUCUCGUAGUCGUA
rnacentral:lncRNA from 1 species